AUUGAACGCUGGCGGCAGGCUUAACACAUGCAAGUCGAGCGGAGAGAGGUAGCUUGCUACCGAUCUUAGCGGCGGACGGGUGAGUAAUGCUUAGGAAUCUGCCUAUUAGUGGGGGACAACAUUUCGAAAGGAAUGCUAAUACCGCAUACGUCCUACGGGAGAAAGCAGGGGAUCUUCGGACCUUGCGCUAAUAGAUGAGCCUAAGUCGGAUUAGCUAGUUGGUGGGGUAAAGGCCUACCAAGGCGACGAUCUGUAGCGGGUCUGAGAGGAUGAGCCGCAACACUGGGACGGAGACACGGCCCAGACUCCGACGGGAGGCAGCAGUGGGGAAUAUUGGACAAUGGGCGCAAGCCUGAUCCAGCCAUGCCGCGUGUGUGAAGAAGGCCUUAUGGUUGUAAAGCACUUUAAGCGAGGAGGAGGCUACUUUAGUUAAUACCUAGAGAUAGUGGACGUUACUCGCAGAAUAAGCACCGGCUAACUCUGUGCCAGCAGCCGCCGUAAAAC
rnacentral:rRNA from 1 species